rnacentral:rRNA from 1 species
UACGCCCUACGGGGGGCAGCAGUGAGGAAUAUUGGUCAAUGGGCGGAAGCCUGAACCAGCCAAGUCGCGUGAGGGAAUAAGGCCCUACGGGUCGUAAACCUCUUUUGCCGGGGAGCAAGGGCCGGGACGCGUCCCGGCCCGGAGAGUACCCGGAGAAAAAGCAUCGGCUAACUCCGUGCCAGCAGCCGCGGUAAUACGGAGGAUGCGAGCGUUAUCCGGAUUUAUUGGGUUUAAAGGGUGCGUAGGCGGGCUUUUAAUUCAGCGGUAAAACUUCGGGGCUC